rnacentral:rRNA from 1 species
AACGAACGCUGGCGGCAUGCCUAACACAUGCAAGUCGAACGAGACCUUCGGGUCUAGUGGCGCACGGGUGCGUAACGCGUGGGAACCUGCCCUUAGGUUCGGAAUAACUGCCCGAAAGGGGUGCUAAUACCGGAUAAUGUCUUAGGACCAAAGAUUUAUCGCUUUUGGAUGGGCCCGCGUUGGAUUAGCUAGUUGGUAGUGUAAAAGCCUGCCAAGGGGACGAUCCAUAGCUGGUCUGAGAGGAUGAUCAGACACACUGGGACUGCGACACGGCCCAGACUCCUACGGGAGGCAGCAGUGGGGAAUAUUGGACAAUGGGCGAAAGCCUGAUCCAGCAAUGCCGCGUGAGUGAUGAAGGCCUUAGGGUUGUAAAGCUCUUUUACCCGGGAUGAUAAUGACAGUACCGGGAGAAUAAGCUCCGGCUAACUCCGUG